rnacentral:rRNA from 1 species
AUUGAACGCUGGCGGCAUGCUUUACACAUGCAAGUCGAACGGCAGCGGGGAGGAGCUUGCUUCUCUGCCGGCGCGUGGCGCACGGGUGAGUAAUACAUCGGAACGUGUCGAGAAGAGGGGGAUAACCACCCGAAAGGGUGACUAAUACCGCAUAAAUUCUGAGGAAGAAAGCUGGGGACCUAGGAAUAGGCCUAGCGCUUUUUGAGCGGCCGAUGUCGGAUUAGCUAGUUGGUGAGGUAAAGGCUCACCAAGGCGAAGAUCUGUAGCGGGUCUGAGAGGAUGAUCCGCCACACUGGAACUGAGACACGGCCCAGACUCCUACGGGAGGCAGCAGUGGGGAAUUUUGGACAAUGGGGGCAACCCUGAUCCAGCCAUGCCGCGUGUAUGAAGAAGGCCUUAGGGUUGUAAAGUACUUUUGUUAGGGAAGAAAAGUCAGCUGUGAAUAAUGGCUGAUACUGACGGUACCUAAAGAAUAAGCACCGGCUAACUACGUG